ACUGCCACCAUCAGCAGUGCUGUGGCAAGUAGUACAUAUCUGGAAAUAUUCAGUAUGCAAACCAAAUAUUGCUAUACCGUACAUACUGCAGAUGAACACAUGUCCAAGAAUUCAGACAAAAAAAAAAAAAACAUCCAAGGACGGUUGCUUCACUAUCCGGUGUCUCAUUACAACACGUCAGCGCUUGUGGUUUCACCGCACUCACUGAUACUUCAGUAUGUACAUGUCGCCGAUGAGUUUGCCUUCUCAAAUUUCCUCUCCCUGUUUUCAGAGCCACGUGGGUGAUCUUGCGCAACCAGCGCAAGGGAGAACGGACUGCCGCAAUUGACUGUGAAUACUGUGAUCAGAUCCAGUCUCGUUUUAGAUUCGUGCGGAUAAAGUGGGUGGAUUUGUCACACACCAAAGAAGCUUUGAUGACAUAUUCUGCCUACUCGGUAUGGUCAAAAUAGCUGCGUCACUCAAAUAGGGUGUUCUGACUGGUAUCUACUGUGUCUGCCGUACUCGCGGCACCUCAAACAAAACCGUUGAUCCAUUAAAAACCUCCUGUGUGCUAUCAUUUAUGAGAAUUAGAAAUUAUGCAUUCACUAUGUGCUGAAAAUACCUUUUUUUUUUCGUUAUUAUUGUGAUUUGAACCUUUUGUACGCUGUUUAUACUGAGACAUGAUGCACCAGAGUUGGUUCGUCAAGGGUGGAAAUAGCGAAGGGGUUAGUCCCACUGAAAUCUGGGAGUUCCCCGCCGCAGACACCUGCAGCCCACAGAGGAAGAAGCACACGUACCACGGGUGGAAAGUUUUUCAAAUGGAGCUUUCAUUCUCUUGCCAUUGUAACAUUUUCUGUCUCAUGAAUGUCAGGGGAUAUGAUCUUAAAAAGCAUUUUUUUAUUUUUUUCAAGCUCUGCAAAAAGAGAAAUGAUACUUGUCUCAUUAUUGAUCUGAACUUACAUCAUUUAUAGUUUUCAGAUUUGACUUGUUAAAAAAAAACGUGACUCUCCAAUCGGCGAUAAUCAAUUCAACCCGAAUUCUACUCAACUCUACUUAAACAAAAACAGACUCAAAAAACAAAAAAACAAAACGUGUUUUGUGAGUUUUUCUGACGGCGAUAUAAUUGUUCAAAACAACACUGGCGUGGAUGCGGGUUGAAACGGAAAGGGAACAACUCACCAGUUCAUCAGAUAUCACAGCAUAGAAAUAUAUUUUUAAUACUGUACCACAUGAAAUACAGCUCAGAAAUGGAUUCCAAGUCCAAUGUUCUUAUUUACAUCAUUUGUCUUAUUUACAAAUCGCUGUGCGUUUUCUCAUGUACAACAAUGACAUGGGUCACGGCUUCACAGGUUCAACUGUGAAAAUACUUUUUCUUUUUUUAAAAGACAAACAUUGAAUCGAUUGAAUCACAUGUCGACUUUGUGAGGGUCGAGCGGGAACAAUACGCUCACGUUGAAAUGAUUUGUACAUCUGCGGCUCAAAGUAUCGCUCUUUAUUUGCAUUUUCCCGUCACGUCACCCAUGCUACGGCUCAAACGUUUUGACCAUAAACUGAAGAGACACAUCCUUGCUUGAACACACAAGUACUAAUACACACCAAGUUGUCUGUACAGACGUGCAAACGCACCAGCGCACGUGCGGUGUAAUUGAAUAGCGGUGGCUCCAACAAAUUCUGGGUUCAACUCAACUAUCGAAAUUCAGGCUAACUCAUAGAUGCGAACCUUUGACGGAUUUAUGAAUUGAUUAAGAGGAUGGAAAUUUUUCGGGGGGGGGGGGUGUCAGAUAUGUGGGACAGGUUGUAAAAAGCUUUAAAAAAACAACAAUUUUGUGGGACCACAGACACCCGAUUCUUGGAAACUCAACUAAGCAUGGCUUGCUAGCUAGCCGUUUUGUCACCUGAUAUCAAGCUAGCAAAGUAUUCUUUUCACAUAUUGAAGCCCAAAGUGAAGACUUGGAAAUCAAGCAGCAAGUGAAGGCCGAACAAGGCGUCCCUCGGGAGAAAAGAAUGAAUUUGGUGAGUCAUGUCUUCCUCUGACUGCGAAAAGGCUAAUAUCGAUGAAACCAUUUUGGUUUGAUUGUGGCAUCAACGACACAUUGCGCCAAUUCCAACACGCUGUCUGUUCACUGUAGUAACCGCUGUCCCCGAAAGGGCUAAAUUUGCUGAUGGAGAAGUGGGGCCAAAACCUGAAUGGCUUGCUAAUGGAG